rnacentral:lncRNA from 1 species
CCUCGGACACUCCACAAUCUGUCUUCACACAAGCAUCAUUUUGUGUUCAGACAGUAACUGAUGCUUGAAUUAUUUCUACAGGCAAGUUCAGGUGUGAAUGAACAAACACCCACCUGUCAUUAUUACUAUGGUCUGUGCAACAUGCUGUCCAUUCACUCAAAUAAUAAAAAUCUUAUGUGCUGCGUUCAAGACUCCAGCCUCUCUGACUGUUACUGAACACACAGCACAGCCACAGACACUGCGGAAAAGCUGAAAAUAGAAAGAAAUGAAAAAAAAGAGUGAAAUUGAGUCCUGUGAUUGGUCAGAAUGUUUGUGACAGGCAGUCAUUGGUGAGGGAGACGGACUCUGGCCCAUCAGUGCCACCCACAUACGCCUCUCCGGAUUUUUCCUUUUUUCCGAAACUUCGCAUUUAUGACUGAUGCUGAUCAUCUCUCCGUGAAGCUCCGUGCAAAGGUGAAGGUAGAAAGUGUGUGUGAGCUGAUGUGAAUUGAGCAGCAUGGAUCAGUGUGAGGACAGAGAGGAGGGAGUCCCUCCCUCUAAAAGCACUCUGUGUGGGGAACAUGAGAGCCAGACCAAAGCUCAGAGGAACCAACCUGGACCUCCACCCAGCUCUGUGUCCUUACAGAGUGACGCGUCCAAUCAUCGAGGCAUUGAUUUUAAAGACCAGCCUGUGUCUGCUGCAGAGAGGUGAGCUGUUGGUAACAUGAACUCUUUGAUUUAACUGCUUGAUGUUGUUGGAUAUAAACUGCAGUGCAAACACGUCAUUCCCUUGAUGCCAUUUAAACUGUCUCUUAAAAACAAGCCUUUGGUUUCUAAACAACUGAAAAUCCACUUCAGCAAACAGGAAGUGAUGCUUGUGCUCAUGUUUUCUUUCAUCAGUCAUGUUGUGCUGUAUGUUGGAGGAAGUUAGAGGGGGUAACACUAAUUUUGAUGCAGAGAUUUCACUUUUGCUCAU